GGUAGUAGUAAAUAUUCAAAUGAGCGCUUUGAAGGCCAAAGUGGAGAAGGAUUCCAUGUGAAAAGCGGUUGAACAUGGGUCAGUCGGUCCUGAGACAGGCGAGCAUCAUCCCAAAGAAGUGGGCAUUGGCCUCAAUCGCCAUCAGUGAUAGAAAGGGAGUCGGGUUCGGAUUCCCAAAUCCAGAGUGGCGGAGAUAGGAAACACAAAGUUGCCUCCUCCAGUGCCGUAUCCUGGAGGAGCCGGCAGGAGCCCAGGGAGAGCUCUCUUUUUCUUGUGAAGUGCAGGGCUAGAAUAAGUUCACAGUUCUGGAGACUUCUAGUGGCACUUGAGAAUCCGGGAAAGAGGGUGUAAAUCUCCACAGCCCAUAUCCCAGCAGGUCUCCCAGGUGAACAGCCUCUGGAC
rnacentral:ncRNA from 1 species